GUGAGUCAUCGAAUCUUUGAACGCACAUUGCGCCCGGUGGUAUUCCGCCGGGCAUGCCUGUUCGAGCGUCAUUAUAACCACUCAAGCCUGGCUUGGUAUUGGGACUCGCGGUUCCGCGGCCCCUAAAAUCAGUGGCGGUGCCGGUGGGCUCUAAGCGUAGUAAAUCUCCUCGCUAUAGGGUCCCUCUGGUUGCCCGCCAGAACCCCCCAUUUUUUCAGGUUGACCUCGGAUCAGGUAGGGAUACCCGCUGAACUUAAGCAUAUCAAUAAGCGGAGGA
rnacentral:misc_RNA from 1 species